GGUUUGGGGGGUUGGGGGGUUGGGACUGUGGAGGACGACUGUUGGCGAGUCUCUGGAAAAACUAACUUUGGACAGUGCCACAAUGCAGCAAAGAGGAUUGCCCUGCCCUGGCAAAUACCUAAGGCUCCACCCCCUUACAACUUAACAGGUGCACUGAGACAAAGAAACAUGACCCAAAUGAAAUAAUAGAUCAAAAUUCCAGAAAAAGAGCUAAGUGACAAGGAGAUAGACAAUCUACCUGUUACAGAGUUCAAAAUAUUGGUAAUCAGGAUGCCCAGAGAAUUGAGUUCUGUUGCAAAAUGAAGGAAGAAAUAACUAUUCAAAGUAAAAUAAAAAAAAGAAUGUACAGGAAACCAACAGUGAAGGGAAGGAAACCAAGACUCCAAUCAAUGAUCUGGAACAAAAGGAAGAAAUAGAUAUCCAACUGGAACAGGAUGAAGAAACAAGAAUUCAAAAAAAAAAUGAGGAAAGGCUUUGGAACCUCCGGGACAAC